AUCUCCCCUAAUAUCGUCUCUCCCGACGGACUGUUGCCCCUCCCCACCCAAAAGAAGGACACCAAAUUUCUGGCUGGAGGCUGAGACUGAUCUUAGCGUCAGGACAUUCAAGAUUCUCUCGGGCUAUGUUCCCUUGCCGGUGUGGUGCCCUGCAACGCUCGAGAUGACGGCCGCGGUGCCAGAUGUGGUGAUUGGACAGGGGCAUCAGCCUGACAUGAACGAUGGCACCAUCCCUGGCAAGGGCGGCGCAGCACAAGAACAGGCCAGUAUCACUUGCUUUCGAUCACACUACCGGCAGCCAUCAACACAAGUAUGAGAUCUCGGCGUUCUUGGAAGGUAUCGACGAUCGAAGAGAACACCCGAGUUUGAUAUACAUGCUGCACAUAUGCAUCUCUAUAUCCCAACUCCAGGUCUGAUCUCAAUUUCCAUGUUUUAUGUCCGCCUACUGCCGUCAUGUACAUUCUGUUGAAUUUAGUAACGUGUUUUCCAGCAAGCCGCUAAAGUCUACCUA